CAAAAUCAAAGGCGGAGUUAUGCCGUAACACAUUAAAAAAAAACAUACAGACGAAUUGAAUACCUCCUUCUUUCAGAAAGUCGGUCGAUAAUUAAGACAAAGCGAAUCGCUGUUGCAUAACUUCUAAAAAACAGCAUUUUUCUCUAACAAUUACUGCCAGGAGAAUACUUCAGAUUUCUAUGACGGCAGACAUACUAUAGGUCUGAACUUGUGCACCACCAGUUACGAAUGCAAUCUAUUAAAAACAUAUAUAAUUACUGCUGCCGAGAUGUCACGAGGUAGAAUUCACCUUUGCAGCGCCACGAGCAUUUGAUAUCGUCGAAAGCACGUGCAGUCGCAGCGGGCGGAUGAUUCAAACGCAUCGCGUCUUCCGAAAAUCGCAAUGAAAAGUUCCAGUCAAAAUUAAGAAAAUUGCAUAGACUGUUAAAUGCACUCUACCACGUUACGGCCCUUACCUUUCUUGGAGGACUGAAAGCUUGUAUAUUAGACUUCCAAAGUGAGUGGAUUUUAGCAUAGAAUAAGAAUGAGAAGAAGGUUCACAGAACAAAUUCCGUGAUAAGAGUUUGUCUAAAAUUCAGAAAGAAGAAAAUGUAAUUGAAGAGUAACGUCACAUUGAUAGACGCGGAGGCAGGAAACCAUAAUUGUCUUCCAAAGUGAGUGAGACGACGGAAACCCAAAGCAAAAUUUGGGAAGAGGUUCAAUUCAUAUAGUUUGAUUCAGAGCUUCUGCAACAUUGAGUUGAGUUGCAGAAGAGAUCGCUGUCUUUGUGACGAUACACAGAAUGGAACUGGAAUUCAUGAAACAAUACGAAGAUUUUUUUAUUUAUAUAAAAUUAUCAAGAUAUAACGUAGGGUCAUGUUAGAAAUCUUUUCCUUUUUUAAUUGACGAGUAUGUACAUAUAACUUUAUUG